GACGAACGCUGGCGGCGUGCUUAACACAUGCAAGUCGAACGGAAAGGCCCUGCUUUUGUGGGGUGCUCGAGUGGCGAACGGGUGAGUAACACGUGAGUAACCUGCCCUUGACUUUGGGAUAACUUCAGGAAACUGGGGCUAAUACCGGAUAGGAGCUCCUGCUGCAUGGUGGGGGUUGGAAAGUUUCGGCGGUUGGGGAUGGACUCGCGGCUUAUCAGCUUGUUGGUGGGGUAGUGGCUUACCAAGGCUUUGACGGGUAGCCGGCCUGAGAGGGUGAUCGGCCCGCCUGGAAGGGAGACACGGCCCAUACGCCUACGGGAGCCAGCAGUAGUGAAUCGGGGGCAAUGGGCGAAAGCCUUACCAAAAAAGGCCGCGUGCGUGGGGAAGGUCUCCGGAUCGGAAAACACGGUUUUUGGGUAUGAACCAGUGUGUCCGUAUAAAUGCACGUGUUGACGGUAACUGAUCAAAAAGCCCCGGCUAACUACGUG
rnacentral:rRNA from 1 species